UUUAUUUUAAAAAUGUAUUAUAAAAAAGCCUCCCCCCCCCCCAUUACACAUACUGCCCCACAAACACUAUCCCCAUACACACACACUGCCCCCCUGUAAUGGGGCAGUGUGUGUAAUGGGGGGGGGGGAGGCUUUUUAAUAAUAAUUAAUAAAAAAAAAUUAAAAAUUUAAUAAAAUAAAUAUGUCCCCCCUCCCUUCUUACCUUUAUUGAGCAGGAGGGGGGACAU
rnacentral:sRNA from 1 species